UACAGAGGGUGCGAGCGUUAAUCGGAAUUACUGGGCGUAAAGCGUGCGUAGACGGUUAUUUAAGUCGGGUGUGAAAGCCCCGGGCUCAACCUGGGAAUUGCAUUCGAGACUGAAUAGCUAGGGUACGGUAGAGGGAAGCGGAAUUCCCGGUGUAGCGGUGAAAUGCGUAGAUAUCGGAAGGAACAUCAGUGGCGAAAGCGGCUUCCUGGACCAGUACCGACGUCAGGCACGAAAGCGUGGGGAGCAAACAGGA
rnacentral:rRNA from 1 species